rnacentral:antisense_RNA from 1 species
AGUGAGUUCUCACAAGAUAUGGUUGUUUAAAAGUUGUCCCAGCAUCAGCUAUUGAGGCUGAUAAGCAAAAGGGAGCUGCUGUGCAAUUUCAGGAUUGGUGCUGACAUCUUCACCUGUGCUCACACCGUCUGCUUCCACUCACUCAUAAUCCUGUUCUCUCUCUUGAAAGAAAGGCUAAUCAGGAUAAAUAUGCUAGUCUGCCUUACUUGGAUGGUGGAAGGACAGAGAGCAGUGUUAGAAUCACUGUUUCACUACCAGCUGACAUCUGCAUGGUUCUCCUGGGUAAGGACCAGCAACAAGACUGUCUUGUGUGUCCUUUUUCUUCCUAGUUCCUCCCUUCUCUCUGAUUAACACUAAUCCAAUAAAAAUUUCUCAAAACUA